UACGUAGGGGGCAAGCGUUGUCCGGAAUCAUUGGGCGUAAAGCGCGCGUAGGCGGCCCGGUAAGUCCGCUGUGAAAGUCAAAGGCUCAACCUUUGAAUGUCAGCGGAUACUGCCGGGCUAGAGUCCGGAAGAGGCGAGUGGAACUCCUGGUGUAGCGGUGAAAUGCGCAGAGAUCGGGAGGAACACCCGUAGCGAAGGCGGCACUCUGGGCCGGUACUGACGCUGAGGAGCGAAAGCGCGGGGAGCAAACAGG
rnacentral:rRNA from 1 species